rnacentral:rRNA from 1 species
GACGAACGCUGGCGGCGUGCCUAAUACAUGCAAGUCGAACGGAGCGGCGGACGGGUGAGUAAUGCCUAGGAAUCUGCCUGGUAGUGGGGGAUAACGUCCGGAAACGGGCGCUAAUACCGCAUACUAUCAGAUGAGCCUAGGUCGGAUUAGCUAGUUGUUGGGGUAAAGGCCUCCCAAGGCGACGAUCCGUAACUGGUCUGAGAGGAUGAUCAGUCACACUGGAACUGAGAAAGGGUCCAGACCCUGACGGGAGGCAGCAGUGGGGAAUAUUGGACAAUGGGCGAAAGCCUGAUCCAGACAUGCCGCGUGUGUGAAGAAGGUCUUCGGAUUGUAAAGCACUUUAAGUUGGGAGGCGUUACCAACAGAAUAAGCACCGGCUAACUUCGUGCCAGCAGCCGGGUAAUAC